rnacentral:rRNA from 1 species
UACGUAGGGGGCAAGCGUUGUCCGGAAUUAUUGGGCGUAAAGAGCGUGUAGGCGGCCUGAUAAGUCGGUUGUGAAAGUCAAGGGCUCAACCCUUGAAUGCCGGCCGAUACUGUCAGGCUAGAGUCCGGAAGAGGCGAGUGGAAUUCCUGGUGUAGCGGUGAAAUGCGCAGAUAUCAGGAGGAACACCGAUGGAGAAGGCAGCUCGCUGGGACGGUACUGACGCUGAGACGCGAAAGCGUGGGGAGCGAACAGG